rnacentral:other from 1 species
AGUUCCCUGCUUUGCCCGUGAUGGUUCGGAGGCUCGCUUGAGCCGAUGUUCCAUUAAAUAAGCGAAUCGCGACGCCGCGCGGUGUGCAUGCCUCGGUGCGAGGAAGCCUGAAGCGCGGCUGACCAGAGCGGUUCCACCUGCUUUCGCAGGUUCAUGCGACCUCCCCACACGGCAAAGCGGGGCCUUU